CUAUAGGUUUUCCUAAAAACCACCCCAAACACAACCCUAAGUGAAAU
rfam:Beta vulgaris subsp. vulgaris Bvchr7_un.sca012.con0014.1, whole genome shotgun sequence.